ensembl:lncRNA
CUGCAGCGGCCGUGUCGGCACCGAGAGCACCCUGCCGGGACUCUGGAUCCGCCUCUCGCCCGGGUGGAGCGGCCACUGCUCCGGACAGCACCGAUUACCGGAGAGAGGCAAGUGUUCAAGGAUGCUUCACAGGUUUUCUUCCUUAAGCUCCAGCUCCCUCCCGAGUCCUCCCCACUCCUACCCGCACCUCCGCCCCCAGAUAUGCAGCUUUAGGGGAGAAGCGAGGAGCCGGCGGCGGGGUGGUGAGGGGCUUUCUUCCAGAGAGGAGUGGAAAGCAGCGAUCUUUCUUCCAGGCCGUGGCGACCCAAACCAGGUAAAAUCCCCACCAGGAUCCCCGGUCCAGUUCUCUGCCUCAGGGCAAGGGUGUGGGGUUGGAGGAACAGCAGAGCGGAACUAAGGUUUCCCAGGAUGAGCCUGGGGCUGCCUUGGGGGGCCGAACGGGGGCAACCGGGCUUGGCAUCUGCCAAAGGUGCCGCAGCUGCCGCCAAAUUCACGAAGCCGGGCGGGGAAGACGGUAAGGGCGCCUGGAAAGCAGGAAGCGGCUCCUAAACCUGGCACCCCAGCGCUCCAAAGGGGGUGCUCUACCCGCUCGGAGCUGUGGGGGCGUUUAGUUCUCGUACCCACUCCGCCGGGCGACGCUGAAACCCGGUCUGCCGUCUGUUUGGCUGGGUCUGGCGCCCCAUCCGAGAUGCGCAGCACCCCCAGACCCCGGAGUGCGCGGUCUCUGGCCACAACCUCCCCAAGCCCACCGUGGCCGCCGCCCGGUCUCCCGCGCUCCUCGCUUUUCAGAUUCCAGAUGCAAGCCGACCUGUUGCAUGCAGAAAAGCGGCGGGGUGAGAUGUUCCAGGUCUCUCCUCCCCGCCUUGCCGGCCUCCGCCCGCCACGAGAUCUGACAGCCAGGAGCCCCCGGGACCUUGCGUGCAGACGCCGAGAGCCUAGUGCCCAAAGAGAAAACGCGUAAGUGCUGGGAGGCCACCGGGUAAUCAUCCCACUGCAAAUUGCCGCAUUGUGAUUGUGGCAAAUCAUCCCGCUAACCCGGGGAAGGAAAAGGAGAGGCGCGGGGGACUGAGCCGGGCAGGGAGUCGAGUCUACUGCAAAAAGAGCAUCCAGUGCAGACAAGUCCUAGUCUCGCCUUUUACCCUGGCGGCAGACUGAGCGCGUGCACUUUACGUCCCUACCUCGGAGUUAAAACGGGUCGGCCGAUGGUCCCCAGAGCCCCUCCACAGCGAGUCCGAGACUUCAGCUUCAGCACCAGAGAGUGGACAGCGCCCUGCCGGUCUUCGCCCAAGGGUGGGUUCCCGCCAGUACUCUGCUUCCUAGCCCGGUUCCCCAGAUCCCUCGCGAGGGAGGCCAGGAGGCGAGACAGGGUUCACCGAGAAAAGGAGGGGAAGGGUUUCAUCUUCCCUAUUUUCAGGAAUUUAAGUAUCAAAUUCUGGGAGGGCAUUCUAUCGUCCCUCCUCUAAAAGCAUUUGGAAUAACUUGGUGCCAAGCACAAGCAGGAUGUCGAAGAGGAAAGAUGUGCUCUGGUAAGUGGUGAGCCUAGGCACAAGUGGGACAGUGGUUCUACCGGGGACCCCGGCACUGGUGUCCUGUGGAAGGUCAGGGCAUCCAAGUCACAUUCUCUCUACUGCAAACCCCCCUUCUCUCUCACUCUCCCCGAAGUCUCCAUAGGCCUUAACACCGGUAAAUGAAGAGAAAAGAGUGGGAUGGUGGGAGAAGAUAUCGAGCUAUGGAGGCCAAGGUAAAAACCACAUUUUAUCAGGGCUGGAACAACUUAGUGAAGAUGACAUCUGUCCAAAUUGCACGUUGAGGUCUGUUUAGCCAAAGGAGCACGGAGUGCUCUUUGUGUUAGGAGAUGAAUGACUAUUUUGCCAAGAAGGAAAAUAGCCAUCCAAGGGAAGAUGUUAUCACAAAAGGGGGCUAACAGAGGUGGGGGAGGAAGAGAGGGGGACAGGACCCCCCCAACUAGAGUGUGGUUUCCAGGCAACCAGCCCAGCCUCUUGUUUCCGUGGUUACAGUGAGUGGAGGGGCUUUGGCUAUUGAUUUAUCUGGAAGCAACUUUAUUCUUGAAAAUACCUGCUUUGGAGCUCCUUCCUUCCCUGGUCUGGAUGUGAGUCAACAACCGCUUCCUCAAAAUUCCUGGGGGUUAAGAGUAAAUCCUGGAAGGCAAAUUUUUUUUCUUUUAAAUCAAGGUGCCUGGUGAAGCAAGUACCUUUCUGCCACCUCAGUCCUUCCUUUCCUCUCUCCCACCUCCUUCAGAAAGGUAAUCAUAUCCUACCCUGUCCUUUCUCUGGGGUUUACUGGGGCUUUUAUUUUUCUCCUAUGAUCCUUUAGACAGAAGGGCUCAUCCGCGGCCACCCCAGCCCUGUGUGCUUUGCUUUUUUCCCUUUACAUGAGAAAGACACAUUUGUUCUUCAUGAAUUGGAGGGAGAGAGGACACUGUCCAACAGUGUCUCCAGUAGAGAGAGGCUUUUCCCUUGUUUUGGCAGUGAUUCCUUCCUCCCUAAACACCCCUCAUGCUGGAGAGGGUGAAUUCUUGAUCAACCCCCUCUUUUCAGACCACAGACCACACAGAAACCACAGGUGGUAAAAAUGGGACACCCUUAGCAAAAGCCAUUUGCAUCACCAGCAUCAGAUUCCUCAAAAAUCUAUUUUCUUUCUCUUCAGCUCUGCCUUCAUAAUUAGGAAAUGAAGCACUUAAAGCUUCUAAUCUUCUGAGCUUUUCAUUUCCCUGGAUUGACAAACGCUGAUUUUGCUUUUCAUCUAUCAGACUAGUCUGCCUGCAUUCAUUCGCAGUAUCUGGGUAGAAAAUCACUUUACCCAUCAUUUCUCAAAGGCAGAUGUAACAUUCUCAGGAUGACUUAAGGGGAAAUUGCCAGUAAGUCAGAACAACCUGAGCUCUGUGUGCUACUUUACUCAGACUACUUCUUAAGAGCCAUGAACUUUCUUUUUCUACAGUAAAACCUUGUUUUAAACUGAGCUAUCAUUUGACAACAGAGGAAUAGAGGAAAUCUCUCUUCCAGGCAGUAACUAUCAUUUUUAUCUUUGUUGCUCUGCAUUACAGACACACAUAUCUUUACUUUUCACCUUUUCUUUCACUCAUUGCUAAUGUAAAUUUAAAAAAAAAUCAUUUUAAUUCCAGACUAAGUUGAACGCCAAAAUUAUCCUCCAUGGGCUGGCUAGAUAUAAUUUUGGGGACAUUUACAUUAAAAUGCUUUCCCCUCACACGUUACUAUAGAAACUUCUUUUUAGUUCAGACCAGACAGCUGGUCUGCUUUUUGUACUUUUCUUCCCAAAGAAGUGCCUUCCUUUAUGAAUUCUCUGGGGCAGCUAUCAUUGAUCACAUCAAUAAAAUCCCAUAGCAACUGUGUUUUUUUUUUUUAAAUUAUUAUUCCUUUUCUGCUCAUUUUCUUUAUGGACAAAGGGUCUACUUUCCUUUCAAGAGGAGAACUGAGAUCUUACUGGCCAGAAGGGAAGAAGUAUUCUUUCAUUGGUUGUUGUGUGUUGCCUUGUCAACCAAUCAGAGGAUGCCAUUUAUCCUUUUCUGACUAGCUAGGUGAGCAGGGUACCCAGAAUGAUUGAAUCUGCUUUAGUACCAUCCAGUAGCAAAGGAUGGGACUCAGAGUUCUGAGACCCAGGAUGUGCUAUUUGCUUUGGCCAACUCAGAUUCAUUGGACUUGCAAAGAUGACUUCUGUAACCUAGUUAUUUGUAGCUUACUCGAACACAUCUGAAUUACAUAUUAUUCUUUUUCAAAAAAUUUUAUUUUAUUUUUGGUCGAGCUUGGUUUUCAUUGCUGUCUGGGCUUUCUCUAGUUGUGAUGAGCAGGGGCUACUCUCUAGUUGCGAUGUGCAGGCUGCUCAUUAUCCUGGCUUCUCUUAUUGUGGAGCAUGGACUCUAGAGCUCAGGCUUAGUAGCUGUGGUGCUCGGGCUUAGUUGCUCCACAGCAUGCAGAAUCUUUCCAGACUGGGGAUCAAACCCCUGUUCCCUGCAUUGGACAGGCAGAUUCUUAACCGCUGGACCAUGAGGAACUCCUGAAUUACACAUUAUUCUGUGAAUUUUUUUCAUUUUAAAAUAUAUUAUGAUCAUUCUUCCAAGUCCAUGCAGAUUAUGAGUAUCAGCACACCAAUGGUCCAGGGAUCUUUGUGAUUUCCUUUAGAAGUAUAGAAUUUAUCCCUAAGGGAUUUGGUGAAAAUUUGGAGAGUUGAGGUUGGGAAGCUAGAAGAGGAAAGAGCUUUGUUCCUUAUGAUGAACAUAUAUCUCAGCAUUUGGAUUCAUUCUGUCUAACUUUGAUGUCCCUGGUAGUUUUAUUUGUUUGUUUUUCUAUAUUAAUUCUUCACAGCUGUCUUCUGGCCUGCAUUUUCAGUGACAAAAAGGUGGAUAGAUGGAGACAAUGACCCUCUAAUUUGGUGUAAGAGAAGACAUAACUUUCCAGGAAGGCUGUGACAGAUAGUCUUGCUUAGGGAUGCUCACAUUAGUCUCCACUUCUCAAAAAGGAGGGGCGCGUCAAAGUUCCUUCUCUUCCAAGACAGGAAUCAUCUGGCAACAGCUUGAGAAAACUUAAGGAGUGAUGCUGAAACUGAAGCUCCAACACUUUGGCCACCUGAUGUGAAGAGCCAACUCAUAGGAAAAGACCCUGAUGCUGGGAAAGAUUAAACGCAAAAGGAAAAGAGGGAGGUAGAGGAUGAGAUGGUUGGGUAGUAUCACUGACUCAGUGGAUAUGAGUUUGAGCAAACUGUAAGAGACAGUGGAAGACAGGGAAGCCUGGCCUGCCUCCACGGAGUCCCAAAGAGUCGGAUGUGACUGAGAGACUGAACAACAGGGACUUCCCUGGAGGUCCAGUGGUUAAGACUUGGUCUUCCCUUGCAGGAGGUUUGGGUCUGAUCCCUGGCCGGGGAGCUAAAAUCCCACAUGCCUAGUGGCCAAAAAACCAGAACAUAAACAACAGAAGCAAUAUUGUAACAAAUUUAAUAAGAAUUUUCAAAUGAUCUAUGUAAAAAAA